rnacentral:rRNA from 1 species
UACGUAGGCGGAAAAUUAAGUCAGUAGUGAAAUCCCACAGCUUAACUGUGGAACUGUUAUUGAUACUGGUUUUCUUGAAUAUAGUUGAGGUGGGCGGAAUGUGUAAUGUAGCGGUGAAAUGCUUAGAUAUUACACAGAACACCGAUUGCGAAGGCAGCUUACUAAACUAUGAUUGACGCUGAGGUACGAAAGCGUGGGGAGCGAACAGGAUUAGAUACCCUGGUAGUCC